UUACUACUCCCUCCGUCCAACAAAAGAUGUCUCAAGUUUGUCAAAAUUUGGAUGUAUCUAGACAUGACUUAGUGUAUAGAUGCAUUCAAAUUUAGUCAAAGUUGAGACAUCCUUUGUUGGACGGAGGGAGUAUUCA
rnacentral:pre_miRNA from 1 species